rnacentral:rRNA from 1 species
CCUACGGGAGGCAGCAGUGGGGAAUAUUGCACAAUGGGGGAAACCCUGAUGCAGCGACGCCGCGUGAGUGAAGAAGUAUCUCGGUAUGUAAAGCUCUAUCAGCAGGGAAGAAAAUGACGGUACCUGACUAAGAAGCCCCGGCUAACUACGUGCCAGCAGCCGCGGUAAUACGUAGGGGGCAAGCGUUAUCCGGAUUUACUGGGUGUAAAGGGAGCGUAGACGGCGGUACAAGUCUGGAGUGAAAGCCCGGGGCUUAACCCCGGAACUGCUCUGGAAACUGUGGAGCUGGAGUGCGGGAGGGGUAGGCGGAAUUCCUAGUGUAGCGGUGAAAUGCGUAGAUAUUAGGAGGAACACCAGUGGCGAAGGCGGCUUGCUGGACUGUAACUGACGUUGAGGCUCGAAAGCGUGGGGAGCAAACAGGAUUAGAUACCCGUGUAGUC